rnacentral:rRNA from 1 species
AGAUUAGAGGAGUGCUCGAAAGAGAACCGUUAACACAGGUGCUGCAUGGCUGUCGUCAGCUCGUGUCGUGAGAUGUUGGGUUAAGUCCCGCAACGAGCGCAACCCUUGUCAUUAGUUGCUACAUUUCAGUUUGGGCACUCUAAUGAGACUGCCGGUGACAAACCGGAGGAAGGUGGGGAUGACGUCAAGUCCUCAUGGCCCUUAUAGGUGGGGCUACACACGUCAUACAAUGGAUGGUACAAAGGGUCGCCAACCCGCGAGGGGGAGCCAAUCCCAUAAAGCCAUUCGUAGUCCGGAUCGCAGUCUGCAACUCGACUGCGUGAAGUCGGAAUCGCUAGUAAUCGUGGAUCAGAAUGUCACGGUGAAUACGUUCCCGGGUCUU